GACGAACGCUGGCGGCGUGCCUAAUACAUGCAAGUAGAACGCACAGUUUAUACCGUAGCUUGCUACACCAUAAACUGUGAGUUGCGAACGGGUGAGUAACGCGUAGGUAACCUGCCUGGUAGCGGGGGAUAACUAUUGGAAACGAUAGCUAAUACCGCAUAAUAUUGAUUAUUGCAUGAUAAUUGAUUGAAAGAUGCUAUUGCAUCACUACCAGAUGGACCUGCGUUGUAUUAGCUAGUAGGUGAGGUAACGGCUCACCUAGGCGACGAUACAUAGCCGACCUGAGAGGGUGAUCGGCCACACUGGGACUGAGACACGGCCCAGACUCCUACGGGAGGCAGCAGUAGGGAAUCUUCGGCAAUGGACGAAAGUCUGACCGAGCAACGCCGCGUGAGUGAAGAAGGUUUUCGGAUCGUAAAGCUCUGUUGUAAGAGAAGAACGGGUGUGAGAGUGGAAAGUUCACACUGUGACGGUAUCUUACCAGAAGGGGACGGCUAACUACGU
rnacentral:rRNA from 1 species